GGGGAAUAUUGGACAAUGGGCGCAAGCCUGAUCCAGCCACGCCGCGUGAGUGAUGAAGGCCUUCGGGUCGUAAAGCUCUGUGGGGAGGGACGAACGUCCCCGUGAAGAACGGGGGGUGACGGUACCUCCUUAGCAAGCACCGGCUACCUUCGUGCCAGCAGCCGCGGUAAUACGAAGGGUGCAAACGUUGCUCGGAAUCAUUGGGCGUAAAGCGCACGUAGGCGGCCCCAUAAGUCGGAUGUGAAAUCCCACGGCUCAACCGUGGAAGUGCAUCCGAAACUGCGGGGCUCGAGUAUGGAAGAGGGUCGCAGAAUUCCCGGUGUAGAGGUGAAAUUCGUAGAUAUCGGGAGGAAUACCAGUGGCGAAGGCGGCGACCUGGGCCAAUACUGACGCUGAGGUGCGAAAGCGUGGGGAGCAAA
rnacentral:rRNA from 1 species